CGUCUACACCUUUCAAUUGGUUUCCCCUGUUGCCCUUGCAUUGAUUUACAUCCUUUUCUUCCUCACCCACCUCCCAUUCCUCCUUGCUGAAGAAAAUUGCUCGGUUGGAAGUCGGGACCAUCGUCUACACCUUCAACUGAUUUGGCCUGUUGCCCUUGUAUUUAUUUACAUCCUUCUCUUCCUCACCCACCUCCCAUUCCUCCUUGCUCCUCCUCUUCUUUCGUUUGCACUCGUAGCUUCAAGCUUCAGGGACUCGUAGUUCGUCAAGAUGAGUUAUUACAAUCAGGCACCUCCGAACUAUGGAGCACCCUACCCUGCACCAGGAUACCCUCCACCGGCGGGGCCACCUCCAACGGUGAUCUACAUGCAGGCGCCUCCGCAGCAGGUGCAGACACCUCCGCAGCAGGGCUGCAUGGGUUGUCUCGGACCAGCGCUUUCGGCUCUUUGCUGCUUGGGUUACUGUGGCAUCAGUGGGUCAGGCAUGUGCGACUUCAAUGGGUUAAGCAUGUGCAUGUAACCAGGUUUGCAAGACGCCUUUGUGGUUGACGUUCAAGGCUGUCGUUUCUCCCAGUCUACUUUUUUCGAUGUGUAAAUUAGAUGUGAUUGGCUCAGCCUGUUGUAAUUUUUUUUUUUAAAAAAACAAGUCUUUGUACAUUCUAACAUCAUUGCAGCAUAUGUGCGUACUAUGCGUGAUGUAUUGCUUUUGCAAAUAUAUUCUCAACACAUCUACACCGUUAUGCCAGUUGAAGUA